AGGAGAGUAGUUAAAUUAAUAACAUUUACAUUGCAAGUAAAAAGUAUUGAAACCAAUCCCUCUUA
rnacentral:tRNA from 1 species